rnacentral:rRNA from 1 species
CAGCAGCCGCGGGAAUACGAAGGGGGCUAGCGUUGUUCGGAAUCACUGGGCGUAAAGGGUGCGUAGGCGGAUUCUUAAGUCAGGGGUGAAAUCCCGAGGCUCAACCUCGGAACUGCCUUUGAUACUGGGGAUCUUGAGUCCGGAAGAGGUGAGUGGAACUGCGAGUGUAGAGGUGAAAUUCGUAGAUAUUCGCAAGAACACCGGUGGCGAAGGCGGCUCACUGGUCCGGAACUGACGCUGAGGCACGACAGCGUGGGGAGCGAACAGGAUUAGAUACCCCCGUAGUCCCUGUCUCUUAUAU